rnacentral:rRNA from 1 species
UACGGGGGGGGCAAGCGUUGUUCGGAAUUACUGGGCGUAAAGGGCUCGUAGGUGGCCAACUAAGUCGGACGUGAAAUCCCUCGGCUUAACCGGGGAACUGCGUCUGAUACUGGAUGGCUGGAGUAUGGGAGAGGAAUGCGGAAUUCCAGGUGUAGCGGUGAAAUGCGUAGAUAUCUGGAGGAACACCGGUGGCGAAGGCGGCAUUCUGGACCAUUACUGACGCUGAGGAGCGAAAGCCAGGGGAGCAAACGGG